AUUGAACGCUGGCGGCAUGCCUUACACAUGCAAGUCGAACGGCAGCACGGACUUCGGUCUGGUGGCGAGUGGCGAACGGGUGAGUAAUGUAUCGGAACGUACCUUUCAGUGGGGGAUAACGUAGCGAAAGUUACGCUAAUACCGCAUAUUCUGUGAGCAGGAAAGCAGGGGAUCGCAAGACCUUGCGCUGAUUGAGCGGCCGAUAUCAGAUUAGCUAGUUGGUGGGGUAAAGGCCUACCAAGGCUACGAUCUGUAGCGGGUCUGAGAGGAUGAUCCGCCACACUGGAACUGAGACACGGUCCAGACUCCUACGGGAGGCAGCAGU
rnacentral:rRNA from 1 species